rnacentral:rRNA from 1 species
UACAGAGGGGGCAAGCGUUGUUCGGAAUUACUGGGCGUAAAGGGCGCGUAGGCGGCCUGUUAAGUCGAACGUGAAAUCCCCAGGCUUAACCUGGGAACUGCGUGUGAUACUGGAUGGCUUGAAUUCGGGAGAGGGAUGCAGAAUUCCAGGUGUAGCGGUGAAAUGCGUAGAUAUCUGGAGGAAUACCGGUGGCGAAGGCGGCAUCCUGGACCGACAUUGACGCUGAGACGCGAAAGCGUGGGGAGCGAACAGG